UACGUAGGGUGCGAGCGUUAAUCGGAAUUACUGGGCGUAAAGCGUGCGCAGGCGGUUUUGUAAGGCAGAUGUGAAAGCCCCGGGCUCAACCUGGGAAUGGCAUUUGGGACUGCAAGGCUGGAGUUUGGCAGAGGAGACUGGAAUUCCUGGUGUAGCAGUGAAAUGCGUAGAUAUCAGGAGGAAUACCGAUGGCGAAGGCAGGUCUCUGGGCUAUAACUGACGCUCAUGCACGAAAGCGUGGGGAGCAAACAGG
rnacentral:rRNA from 1 species